rnacentral:rRNA from 1 species
UACGUAGGGCGCAAGCGUUAUCCGGAAUUAUUGGGCGUAAAGAGCUCGUAGGCGGUUUGUCGCGUCUGCCGUGAAAGCCCGGAGCUCAACUCCGGGUCUGCAGUCGAUACGGGCAGACUUGAGUGUUGCAGGGGAGACUGGAAUUCCUGGUGUAGCGGUGAAAUGCGCAGAUAUCAGGAGGAACACCGGUGGCGAAGGCGGGUCUCUGGGCAACAACUGACGCUGAGGAGCGAAAGCGUGGGGAGCGAACAGG